GCCUAGCAGACUAACACAAUUCUCAUUCAAUAUUUUCUUGUCACCAAAUAAAUAAAUGAGCUCAACACCCAAAAAAAUAUAGUUAGGCCUAACUAUAUUUACAACACCACUCCUGCCAUCACAGUAAAAUCGGCCAUGAGAAGAUUGAAGGAAUUGAAGGACCAGUAGAAAGAGCACCAUUUGAAAAGCUGCUACCCUUUAAUAAAUGGGUUAAUUUUUGUAACAAAAUUUAAAUAUGUGUGUGUGUGUGUGUGUGUGUGUGUAUAUAGUUAGGGGACACAAUAGUUAACAAUUCUAAAAAGGCCACAAAACUAAAAAUUAGCUUUUAUACAAUUUAGGACAUUUAGGUUGGCAGUUCCUAUUUUACUUCCACUUCUGUUGAUCCUGUUGAUUUUUGUUUCCACUUCUGAAAAUGACUGAUAAUACAAGCAAGGGAGCCGUUUUUUAUGGGAACAAGCAGAGGCUCAGCUCCUGCUGGUCCACCUGCUUCAGGGGGCUGCAAAACUAACGCUCGGGUUGAACAGUAUCAACUCGCUUCGCCGCGGCUCCCAGAAGGCCCCUGGCCGAGAGGCCGCAGUUACAAACCCACGACCAAUCAGGGUGAGGAGUUCCCGCGCGUGCGCAUCGUGUCGGGGCGGGACUUCCGGCGUCCUCCUUUCGGCGGUCAUUUUCGCUUCCUUCUGGUCGGUUCGGCCUCGGAGUGUUGUGUCAGGUUCUAGGUGACGGGACCGAGAAAGUCCGAGAGGAGGGUCUGUCCCUGCUACUCAGGGGUGCGUCUGAGGCUCGGCGACGCAGCACGGGCUGCCCUGCGCCAGGCCCGGGAGAGUGACCGCCGUGCCUGCGUCUCGCCUCCUCUGUCGCAGCUCCCGGCCCCGCUCCGCCCAGGGAGUCCGAUGGCUGUGGCUGCCCUGAGGGACCCGCCUGAGGAUGGUGUGGCCUUUGAGGACAUUGCCCUGUACUUCUCCUGGGAGGAAUGGAAGCUCCUUGAUGAGGCUCAGAGACGCCUGUACCAUGAUGUGAUGCUGGAGAACUUUGCACUUAUAUCUUCACUGGGUGAAAUGAUAAUCGCUACUCAUCAAGGCAGUGAUUGUGGAAUCCAAAACCUUAACCUCAGUAUUCAGACAUCCACUUUCCAUAUCUGCACAUAUGUUAUCACUGCAGCUACCAUCCUGGCAGCAAAUGUAAAUUUGGGAAGUGACCACUUUUCCCAGGUAAGUGUCACAUUCUUGGAAGGAUAGAUCCUAUCUCAGAAAAUUAAAUAAUAAAUGCUGUAUCGAAAAACAAUUCAGAUUUUUGGAUUUGGAACAUAAAUACUGACAAAGAGAGGCAGAAGGGAUGUAUUCUGAGGGUCCCGGAGGCAUGGCCCCACUUCAUCCAUUUGCUUUAGGGCUGCCUAGUAUCUCUCCUCCAUGUUUCCUCUCAUAACCUGUCUGUACUUUUCUGCCUCUUUUCACUGACUAAACACUGAACCUCAUAACAUCUAUUUAUAAUAGCUUAAUCCCACAUGAAGUGAAGAGCAAGACUGUUUUACUUGUAAUUUUUUGUGGACAUGCAGUGUCUUUUUAGUAAUAGUUAGCUGUGCAUAUUUUAGUCUUUUGGGUGGAUGAUUUUCAAAUGGAUCCUUAGGAGAAUUUUAGUAACAUGUCUGAAGAAUGCAAGAGCAAAAACUUCCUGCCCCAUUUUGUGAAAGGAAGAAUACACCUAAACAUGUGAACAAAAGAAUGUAAGUUAAAAUAGUAAGGUAAGCAGGGAUGGAAAGAAUCUCUAAAUGUUACCAUGUAUGAAAACAUAUUUUAUAUGUGCAUAGUAUCUUCAUUACUAUUAAUAUUAUGCUCCCUUCUCUCUAAAAAGAUUUCUGGUGACCCUGAAUCAAUAUAGAUUUUUAAUGUGUCAUCUAGAAAUCAUGAGAUGACUUAUUCUAACAAACUUUAUUAUGAUCACUCUCACUCCCUAAUGGGUAUCUUCCUAAUCCUUCUUGUGGAAAUCGAAAUUUUCUCGAGUCCCUUAGAAAAUAAAGCACAAAUGUCCUAAGGAAUCUGUUGUAGCCAAUGAAUUAAUUUAUGUUUUAUGCAUCUCGACUGCAAUUUUUUUUAUCUCCUAGGGAUAAUAAGGACAAUAUUCACUCAGAUUAGACCAAAUACACAAAGCAACUAAUUUCAGGCCUUGAACGGUGGAUAGCAUAGGGCUGUAACCUUGAGGGCUGUAAUGAGAGGUCAGGUGCAGAGAGCCAGUGAAUCCUAGCUUUCUCCUCCAGCAGAGGCAUCCUCAUCACUGGCCUCAGAGGCUGAGUCUCCACUCCUUCCUCCAGAGUUUAAUACCCUCUGUGGCACCUGAACUCCAAUGUCAGGACAACCUCAGAGACCAGUCCAGGACAGAACACAGCCAGGAUGAUAGGGCUUUUGUUGCUGCCUCCUGGACUUCAUGGUGGGCUAGAAGGCCAAAUGCAGCCCCGACUUGCAUGACCAGAUGGAUCUGGAUCCCAGGUCUUGGGACAGCUUCCUUAUGCCCUGGACUUAAUACCAGCAAUACCUUGUACUGGGAUUUGGCCUGGGGGACCUGGAAUGCUGAAGAACUGGCCUAGGAUGGUGCCAGGUGUCUCAACAGAGCUUCCCAUAGCCUAGAAGAGGGACAUUGCAGGGAGCAAGUGGAGAUCAGUUCUGGCCUGGUUCCUGCCCUCCUGUAGCAGCCAUGGAACAUGCGGACAAUGAAAUGCAAAAUAGGGAAUUUGAGGUCUACUAAGUGUGGCAACAAGGAGGCAUCAAGUGUGAAAUGAGGAAGUGGGCUUAGGAUGUCUGAGAUAUAUUGCUAAGUGAGAAAAGGAAAGUACAGAUCUGUAUACAAAAUACGUAUGACUUUAUUUUUCCUGAGCCAACAACUUUUAUAGGAAAAUAUCUGAACACAGACCCACACAGAAUGACACACAUAAAUGCAGACACAAUUCUAAAAUGAUAAUACUAUAGUGCAAACCUCAGCUAUUCCAUUUAUUUUUGCAAUCCUCUUUACUCUGAAUGUCCUCUUUAACUCUUCCUCCAACUGGGAUUUGGUCAAUUUGGUUUUCAAGAAUGAAGAAGGAUCACAGUUUGGAGACAGACUCUUCAGAGUGACCAUUCUUGUCGGGUACUGAGCUUAAUUCCAUGUCUUCUCAGACAUCACUGCUAAAACACCUCGGAGAUCUUAACUUUUUUCACCAUUCAUGGAUGUUUCACCAGAACUAUUUCUGCUACCAUCUUUUAAUCACUACUUAAUUGUUAUUAAUUGCUUUCUAUAAUUUGCAUUUUACAGCUGCUUUUCUGAGAUAAUUUCAAUUCCACGUGGAGGUCAGUCCCAGUAAUGACUAGAAAAAUCAUCAUUAUUUUCCAGCAAAAAGAUGAAAUCAUCUGUUUAAGAUACUCCCAAUAUUUCAGUUAAACAAAAGUCAGCUGAGUAAAUUUGAAGAUCUAAUUGGCUUUAUUAGGUGAUUCAUGUAUUGGGUAGCAUUCUAUCUAGCAACUAGAAGGAUGCUCUAAGGGGCUGCACAAAAUGGAAGGUUUUUAUAGGCAGAAGUGGAGUGGGGCAAGGAUGUUGCCAAAAAGAAAAGGAUUAUUUUAAGGCUGAAAUAUCUUUGGUGGGGAAAGGAAUGGCACAGGUUUUGUCAUGCUCAUUGCCUCUUCUUCCUCAGGGGGAAGAUAGAGAGGGCCCACAGAUUACCUCAUUGGUUCUGGCCAAGAAAUUCCAAACUGGUUGAUUAUGAUUACAUUUUUCAGAAAGGUUGAAAUUGCAAUUAGGUUAGGUAUUAAGUCUAGUUUUGGAAUUAUGGUCUUUAGCACAAGUGAUGUCAUUUUGGGCCUGUGGUUUUUCUCUUUAACAAGGUGUUGAGAGCAUGUUUUGCUAUAUGUUCCACAUUUGUUUCCUUAUUCUCUGUUUGAGAUUGAUUUCAUAUUCCUGAAGGAAUUGAAUAUGUGUCAGGAUAUGGAUUAAGAGGUAUUCAGUAGAUAAGUGUUUCAUAAUUGGAUACAAUUAUUAAUUAUAAUGGAGGAGAAAUGUUUUAUGCAGGAAUCAUUGAUGGAGAUCCAUCUUUCCACUCCUGCUUCAGGCUGGUGAACAUCCCUCUUCUAUCCUCCAUGUUCUGGCCCUAUCUGGAGUUGUUUUUCUCUUGUCCCUGACCAAAUGUACAUGGACUGUCAAAAAAUGAAUCUAAAGCUUGAGAGUGCAUACCUUUGAACUACAAAACAAUAAUGUUUAUUAGCUUCAGCUUCCAGUGGAGUCAUUUCGUUUCUUAAUUACUGUAUGGAAUGAUACAUGCCUUUAGAUUUGUGACCACUGAGAGCAUCUCAAAUGAUAUUUUUAGAUUCUGGGAACAUGCUGGGCUGCUUCACUGAGUCUGAAAUAAUGUCUCCAAAUGAAACUGAGUCCCCCUCAAACGGAGUUCCCUUACAAAGUUUAUGAUUAAUCUCUCUAUCCAAAACCUUAUUCCCUUUCUUAUCCCCUAUAACCUCAAUCCUGGGCUAACUGAACACUAAUCAACCAGAAUCAGAUGACUAAAAUUGCUGUUGUCAAUAACAUCACCGUAGGCACUAAAAAUGCUCUUAUAGAUAUCAUUAACAUACAAACUCAGGUUGUUUAUCUAGAGCAAGAUUAGCUAACAGACCCCGGAGCCAUGGACGACGUGGCCAGAGAAUUAUAAACCAGAGACAUCCUGAUUCCCAUAUCCACGAUUAAGAAGUGUCACAGCGCUUCCCUUGUGGCGCAGUGGUUGAGAGUCCGCCUGCCAAUGCAAGGG